UGCCAGAUUUUACAUUUCGCUGUUUUCAAUAUAAAUACAGCAUAAACUUGAAAAUAUUUCAGAAUUGUUCAACCAGCUUUAGCUUCAAAAUGACUCUCCAACGUUUUUUGCUUGUUCUUGUGGUUUUGGCUGUUUUAGCUGUUUCAGUAAUGGGAAAAGUUCAUCAUUAUACACAAGGAGGAGGAGUGCCUGAUACAAUGCCUGAUACAGCAGUAGAAGAAGAAUCAGACGGGGGAGGAUUAGGACUUUUAGGUGGAGUCAAGGAGUUGCUUGAUGACGUACUCAGUGAUGUUGGAGUUCACAAUCAGUAACCAAUGGAAUUCACAGCCAAAA